AUGGGAGCCCUUGUAAAAUGGCAUGCUCUUUUUUCCCUCGCCAAAAUUUAGCCUCACAAUAGAGUGUUAUUUAGCCCCUUCCAAACAACACAGUGCCAAUGGAUGCCUUGGGUUGUCUAGUUUCCAUAUUAUACCAGU